AGAUUUAAAAUUUUGACAUUAUUUCAAAAUUUUGAUAUAAAUUUUUAAUAUUUAAUUUUUAAUUUGAAUUUAAAUUAAUAUAUUAUAAAGAUAAUAUUAAUAUAUUAAUUUGAUUACGUUUUUUAUAUCUAUCUGAACCAAACACUGACAAUGGGAAUGAUUUAUUCCGAUUCCGAUUCAGGUGAUGAACCAAACAGAAUUAGAUAAUGAGUCAUUCUGAUUCCAAUUCUAACUUAUUUUGAUUCCGAUUUCGAUUCCGAUCCAACUUCGAACCAAACACGCCCUAAGUCGACAUGCCACUUGUUCAUGUUAAGUGUCUCUGCUACACUAGUUCAAUGUCGCUUGUUUUCAUCAUCACGAGUCCAAGUUCAUCAUCAUUCUUGCUACUACAGGAUUCUUGACACAAGACCCAAUCCUCAUGCAAACCUAAGUUCAAGUGUCAAGCCCACAAUGCUACACUACCUAGGAAACAUGCAAGAAAAUGGAAAUGCAACCAUCCACUAAUCCUAUAAUGCACUAUGUCAAUAUAUGAAUAUGAUCAAUAUACAAUUUAGACAUAAAAGGAAGUCCAGUUGCUUCAGGAUGGACACCCCCCACCUUUAGUUGAUGCCACGAGUCCACGAAUCCGAUCUCUCGAUUUUUGGAAGCCUACGCCGCGUGCUGCGGCAAUCUGUACCGAAACAGGCCUUUUCGCCAAUAUCUUCGCGUAUCUUCGUCGGAUUGCCAAACCGACUUCGCCAACGCGUUAAAAUAUCUAGCAAUUAGGUUUACAUAGGUUCAAUUUAGAUCAAACCCAUACAUUUACAAAAACCUCAUUUGGAACCCUAACAUAGAACCAAUGCAAGAAUCCACCAUUAACUCUCUAGAUUCAAGCAAUAAACAUCUACUUAGCACCCUAGAGUUCCAAAAAAUCCAUUUCUA
rnacentral:lncRNA from 1 species